CGCUCUGGGAGAGUUUAUAGUCCUGAGAGUUGAACACUGGAUGACUGACAGCUGUCCUUCAUGACAACAGAAGACACAGAAAUCCUCCUCAUCAAAAACAUGACUUUGAUCUGCGUCCUCAUCUGGACUCUCCUCUGCUGCUGCUUCACAGAGUCCAGAGGUCAGGUCACAGUGACUCAGCCUGCAGCAGUGAGAGCUGAUCUGGGAGGAUCUGUUACCAUCAACUGUAGAACCAGUCAAAGAGUCGAUGAUGGAGAAGAUCACAGCUUCCUCAGCUGGUACCUCCAGAAGGAUGGAGAGUCUCCUAAACUUUUAAUCUAUAGAGCUUCAUCUCAUGAGUUUGGAAUUCCAGGGAUUUCAAGUCGUUUUACAGGCAGUGGAUCAAACUCUGACUUCACUCUGACCAUCAGUGGAGUUCAGACUGAAGAUGCUGCAGUUUACUACUGUCAGAGUGUUCAUCUGAUCAACAGUCAGUGGGGCUUCACACAGUGA